rnacentral:rRNA from 1 species
AUUGAACGCUGGCGGCAGGCCUAACACAUGCAAGUCGAGCGAGCGGCGGACGGGUGUGUAAUGUCUGGGAAACUGCCUGAUGGAGGGGGAUAACUACUGUAAACGGUAGCUAAUACCGCAUACCAUCAGAUGUGCCCAGAUGGGAUUAGCUGUUAGGUGGGGUAACGGCUCACCUAGGCGACGAUCCCUAUCUGGUCUGAGAGGUUGACCAGCCACACUGGAACUGAGAAACGGUCCAGACUCCUAAGGGAGGCAGCAGUGGGGAAUAUUGCACAAUGGGCGAAAGCCUGAUGCAGCCAUGCCGCGUGUGUGAAGAAGGCCUUCGGGUUGUAAAGCACUUUCAGCGGGGAGGCGUUACCCGCAGAAGAAGCACCGGCUAACUCCGUGCCAGCAGCCGCGGUAAUAC